GACGUAGGGGGCAAGCGUUGUCCGGAAUCAUUGGGCGUAAAGCGCGUGUAGGCGGCCCGGUAAGUCCGCUGUGAAAGUCGGGGGCUCAACCCUCGGAUGCCGGUGGAUACUGUCGGGCUCGAGUACGGAAGAGGCGAGUGGAAUUCCUGGUGCAGCGGUGAAAUGCGCAGAUAUCAAGGAGGAACACCGAUUGCGAAGGCAGC
rnacentral:rRNA from 1 species